UGGGGAAUAUUGGACAAUGGGGGCAACCCUGAUCCAGCAAUGCCGCGUGUGUGGAGAAGGUCUUCGGAUUGUAAAGCACUUUCGACGGGGACGAUGAUGACGGUACCCGUAGAAGAAGCCCCGGCUAACUUCGUGCCAGCAGCCGCGGUAAUACGAAGGGGGCUAGCGUUGCUCGGAAUGACUGGGCGUAAAGGGCGUGUAGGCGGUUUACACAGUCAGAUGUGAAAUCCCCGGGCUUAACCUGGGAGCUGCAUUUGAUACGUGUAGACUAGAGUGUGAGAGAGGGUUGUGGAAUUCCCAGUGUAGAGGUGAAAUUCGUAGAUAUUGGGAAGAACACCGGUGGCGAAGGCGGCAACCUGGCUCAUGACUGACGCUGAGGCGCGAAAGCGUGGGGAGCAAACAGGAUUAGAUACCCUGGUAGUCCACGCUGUAAACGAUGUGUGCUAGAUGUUGGGUAACUUUGUUAUU
rnacentral:rRNA from 1 species